UUAUGUUUUUCCAGAUCUCAUUGAGCAUGUUUGCUGGCUGUGAGAGUUGAAAUGUUGAAAUGUUGGCCUUGCUGCACCUUGUUGUUGGUUCUUCUUUUUCAUCAUUUGAAAGAAUGCAAAUGUGUUCAUUGGUGUGGGUUGGCUUGACCCCCCCAUGGAUGGUGUACACAGAAUAAUCUGAGGUGCACCAAGAGUUUGGCCACCAAGUGCCUGCAUGGCUAGAAACAGAAAAAAAAAUCAUUUAAUUUCCUGCUAAUGGUAAAACUAGCUUGGGAUCUACACAAUUUAUGUAAAAGCUUAAUAUCAUUUUUGGUGUUUGGUUACUGCAUUUCCUUGAAUAAGUGCCCAUGCCCUAAUAAAUGCCCCCUCCUCUGAAUAAAAAGCUACCCCCUGGGCCUAAAUGUCAAAUAAGUCCCCCCCUCAAUUUCUUAAAUUAGCAGGGAUACAGGGAAAACCUGUUUUUAUAGCCCAUUUAUUUAACCUUCAACUUCAGCAGAAUCAGUAAAGAAAAGUACUUCCUUUUCCUUUACUCACUUCUAUUUAUUUCCAUCAUCAUGUGCUUACAGAGUUCUUUUCUGUGCAUUAUCUGUUUUUAUUUUUGUCCUAUUUCCCUGCCCUUGGUAAAUACUCUAGCCUUCCCAGGCUCAACUACACUAUUCUCUAUUCUACAGAGACCUGUAAUUUCAUUGAUUAUAAAGUUAUUGGGAUGCAUUUGAAGAAAACAGUUGA